rnacentral:rRNA from 1 species
AGCGGCGGACGGGUGAGUAACACGUGGGUAACCUGCCCAAGAGACUGGGAUAACACCUGGAAACAGAUGCUAAUACCGGAUAACAACACUAGACGCAUGUCUAGAGUUUGAAAGAUGGUCCUGCUAUCACUCUUGGAUGGACCUGCGGUGCAUUAGCUAGUUGGUAAGGUAACGGCUUACCAAGGCAAUGAUGCAUAGCCGAGUUGAGAGACUGAUCGGCCACAUUGGGACUGAGACACGGCCCAAACUCCUACGGGAGGCAGCAGUAGGGAAUCUUCCACAAUGGACGAAAGUCUGAUGGAGCAACGCCGCGUGAGUGAAGAAGGGUUUCGGCUCGUAAAGCUCUGUUGGUAGUGAAGAAAGAUAGAGGUAGUAACUGGCCUUUAUUUGACGGUAAUUACUUAGAAAGUCACGGCUAACUACGUGCCAGCAGCCGCGGUAAUACGUAGGUGGCAAGCGUUGUCCGGAUUUAUUGGGCGUAAAGCGAGUGCAGGCGGUUCAAUAAGUCUGAUGUGAAAGCCUUCGGCUCAACCGGAGAAUUGCAUCAGAAACUGUUGAACUUGAGUGCAGAAGAGGAGAGUGGAACUCCAUGUGUAGCGGUGGAAUGCGUAGAUAUAUGGAAGAACACCAGUGGCGAAGGCGGCUCUCUGGUCUGCAACUGACGCUGAGGCUCGAAAGCAUGGGUAGCGAACAGGAUUAGAUACCCUGGUAGUCCAUGCCGUAAACGAUGAGUGCUAAGUGU